rnacentral:rRNA from 2 species
CCCCAGCGCGGAAUGAAAGUGAACGUAGGUGAGAGCUUCGGCGCAUCACCGACCGAUCCUGAUGUCCUCGGACGGAUUUGAGUGUGAGCAUAUAGGGUUGGACCCGAAAGAAGAUGAACUAUGCGUGUGUAGGGUGAAGCCAGAGGAAACUCUGGUGGAGGCUCGCAGCGGUUCUGACGUGCAAAUCGAUCGUCAAACAUGCGCAUGGGGGCGAAAGACUAAUCGAAUCUUCUGGUAGCUGGUUUCCGCCGAAGUUUCCCUCAGGAUAGCAGUGUUGAUCCCAGUUUUAUGAGGUAAAGCGAAUGAUUAGGGACUCGGGGGCGCUAUUUAGCCUUCAUCCAUUCUCAAACUUUAAAUAUGUAAGAAGUCCUUGUUACUUUAUUGAACGUGGACGCUGGAAUGAAACAACACUAGUGGGCCAUUUUUGGUAAGCAGAACUGGCGAUGCGGGAUGAACCGAACGCGAGGUUAAGGUGCCGGAGUGGACGCUCAUCAGACACCACAAAAGGUGUUAGUACAUCUUGACAGCAGGACGGUGGCCAUGGAAGUCGGAAUCCGCUAAGGACUGUGUAACAACUCACCUGCCGAAUGUACUAGCCCUGAAAAUGGAUGGCGCUCAAGCGUCCCACCCAUACCUCGCCCUC